GCCAGGGCUGCCUCCUGCUUGACGGCAUCGGCGAUGGCGAUCAUCCCGCACAGCACACCUGCAGGAGAUGCCCUCAGACAAACAUCUGGAAGGAACACGAACUGUUAACAGUGGCGCUCUGAGGGGUCGGGAAGCAUUUCUGUACAACUUCCUUGGUUUGGGGCUUUUUGGAGUGAAUCUCCAGACGCUGAGGCAGGUGGGUUCUGAGGCCUGAGGCCUGGAUCCUUCAGCCGGGCUGGUCCUGAUCUGAGCAGCUGAGGGGGCUGCAGCUCUGGGAGGACUUUGGAAAGGAUAUGGUGGUGCAAGCGGGAGGAAAGCCCGGAAGAGGGCCUAUUUGGUUGAAGCGUUAAAAAUAACGCUUGUUUGUUACUUUUCUGCCUCCAUAAGCAGAGGCUACCAUCGACACAGGGAGAUUGCAGUCGUCUGAGGCAUAAAGGCCUAGAUGGAACCCGAGCGCCAGACACGUGAUCGCGGGGAGCCCCCCGGAGGGACCCGUGGCUGAGUCUGACAGGGAGCUGCUGUUGGGCAUCCAGGGAUGGAGCAGGGGGGUGACUGAACCUGGCUUGGAUGGAGGCGGACGCCGAGGCAAAGGCAGGCCAGAGUCCCAAGAGCGGGGAGGCCGGUGCCCCUCGCUCUGGGGCAAGGAGGGACCCGGCAGGCUCAGACCCUCUGCACCAAGUGAAGCAGGAAACUGGCCAGGCAGCCUCUGGACGCAGAAGCUACAUUAACAGACAGGAAGACUUAUGGGGGGGGGGGGGGAGAAGGAGAAGGUCUGUGUUUGCCAGAUAUCCCCGGAGUCUGCUGCUGAGAGCGGAG